GCUUGCCUGGCCGGGGUCGGUGGCGCGGAAGACGUGGCAGGCGACCGGGGAGUCGGGGUCGUCGGGCUGCGCCUUGAUCAGCCCUUGCAGACCCUGGAACAGACUCAAGGAAGAGGAAGUGCUUUUUCCUGGCACAGAAUCCCCUUGGGGUUCACCUCUGCUCUGUGCUGGGCCCUGUGCAUGGAAGUAAACGUUUCCAGCCAUGGAGGGAAGAAAACACCAUGGAAUCCUUCAUGCAUCCGACCCAUAUAACACACUUUUCGUAGGGAAGUUACGCUGUCUCACCUAAUGAGAAAACGUGUAACUGUUUCAAAGUCUUUUACUCUGCACAUGGAGAAUGCAGUUGGCUACACGGUUCUCCCAACAAGCAAGAGAAAAAAGUCUUUGGGCAGCAAAGCAGUUUACCGAUCCCAAUGGGAAGCCACGUCCCCGAUGGAA